UACGUAGGUGGCGAGCGUUGUCCGGAUUUACUGGGCGUAAAGGGCUCGUAGGCGGCCAACUAAGUCGGACGUGAAAUCCCCAGGCUCAACCUGGGAACUGCGUCCGAUACUGGAUGGCUUGAAUUCGGGAGAGGGAUGCAGAAUUCCAGGUGUAGCGGUGAAAUGCGUAGAUAUCUGGAGGAACACCGGUGGCGAAGGCGGCAUCCUGGACCGGCAUGACGCUGAGGAGCGAAAGCCAGGGGAGCCAAACGGG
rnacentral:rRNA from 1 species